rnacentral:rRNA from 1 species
GCACAUUGCUAAUACCAGUGUGUCUUGACCUAACCCAAGAAAAAAGCACCGGCUAACUCUGUGCCAGCAGCCGCGGUAAUACAGAGGGUGCGAGCGUUAAUCGGAAUUACUGGGCGUAAAGCGUGCGUAGACGGUUAUUAAGUCGGGUGUGAAAGCCCCGGACUCAACCUGGGAAUUGCAUUCGAGACUGAAUAGCUAGGGUACGGUAGAGGGAAGUGGAAUUUCCGGUGUUAGCGGUGAAAUGCGUAGAUAUCGGAAGGAACAUCAGUGGCGAAAGCGACUUCCUGGACCAGUACCGACGUUCAGGCACGAAAGCGUGGGGAGCAAACAGGAUUAGAUACCCUGGUAGUCCACGCCAUAAACGAUGAGGACUAGACGUUGGAGGGGUAAGCCUUUCAGUGUCGUAGCUAACGCGCUAAGUCCUCCGCCUGGGGAGUACGGCCGCAAGGUUG